ACCCCCACAACCCCCUCCCCCCGCCGCACCUUCACCCUUUCUGAAAAGGUCAAUCGUAUCUCGUUGUUCAGUGAUCCGGGAGGUGGAAGGCUAUUGGUUCAGGGAGCCCGUCAGACCGGACUGGAGUGAGCCAUGAUUGGUCGACACAGGCGCAAUCAGAGUCAAGAAAACUUUGCUUUUGACUUAUUUACAGCUAGUCACAAUUGAGUGAAGUAUACUCCUGUAAACAAAUUUGGAUUUCUCUCUCUCAAUCUGAUUUCUCCAGAAUGUGGAAACUAUUUGUAUCAUCUAGUGAACUGUUCAGAUGCAACUGAAUUGAAAAGGAGCUGAACAAAAGAUCCUGAGAGAGACUUCAACAAAAAGUAAAAUGGAUUUUAUCAUACUUGAAAAAUCAACAAUUGCAGUCUGGAUUCAUACAUCACUGUCUGAUGCACCCAACUUGAGUCAAAAAGAUGUUUCAAAUCCCACUAGGCUGGAGGCAAAAAUACUCAAGAGUUUAAGAGCGUCUCUUGACAGUGUACAGAAUAAGAUAGCUUCUCAGCUUUCAGCUUUACUUCACGGUUUUAACUAUCAAAAGAAGCAAGCCAUCUGAAGAUUUGCCUGAGACUGAAGGAUCCACUUCUGCGACGACUCCCUCAGGACUUAUAAUGCAGAUGGAACCAGAUUGAGAAAAACCAGCCAACCAACCAACCAACAUGAUGGCUGAACCAGACAAGAGAAGUCCCGAAGUAAAAUACCCACCAAUUACCAGAAUCUGUGCCUGCCAUACAUCGAAGAAUCUUGCUCUGUCGCUCAAGCUGGAGUGCAGUGGUGUGAUCUCAGCUCACUGUAAGUUCUGCUGCCCAAGUUGAAGCGAUUCUUCCACCUCAGCAUCCUGAGCAGCUGGGACUACAGGUACACACCACUGCACCUGGCUAAUCUUUAUAUUUUUAGUAGAAGUGGGAUAUCACCAUGUUGGCCAGGCUGGUCUUGAACUCCUGACUUCAAGUGAUCUGCCUGUCUUGGCCUCCCAUACUGCUGGGAUUACAAGUGUGAACCACCAUGCUGGCCUGUGACAUUUUAAUCUAGUCAAUCAGUCUUGGAAAAUAAAGCCUUGCUUUCUGUGGCACCUAAACCAA
rnacentral:lncRNA from 1 species